GGCAGGCAGGCUGGAAUUACAGACAGGCUGUGAGGAAGACCAGGAGAGGAUGAAGUUGCAAUAGAGAGAUGUGGUCAGCACAGCCCAAGGCCCUGCAGACUGGAUGUCCUGGAAAGAGGAUAGAUAGCCUUCCCUAAGCCAGCAAUCCUCAUGUAUUCUCAAAGGCAUCCUGGUUGGAGGAGUCAGUUUAUAGUCCUAUCCUAUAGUGCUUCUCCCUGUGGGAACUAGGGAGGAGCCAUUGGAUUUAGCCAGUGAGGAGCUGGUUGGGGCUGGUGGGCGGAGUAUCAGUCAUUAUCCAAGGCUGUGAUGAAGUGCCUUGUGCUGGGUACUUUACAAGGCAAUAUAGUUUUGGAGGAUGAAAGUCCAAGAUCUCAGAGCCCCAUGUACUCAGUUUCUGGAAAGGCCUGGUGACAUGACAUCACAUGGAGCAUGUGUGUGAAGAGGUAUCAUAUGUCAAGAUAGCAAGCUAGAGAGAGACUACCAGACACUCUCUUGAUAGAAAUAACCAGGGUCCUAGGAGAAUUACAUCAAUGCUUUUUGAAAGCAGUAUGUUCAAUUACUUCCCACAGGGACCCCCCCUUAAAGAGGUUCAGCCCCCUCCUCCCAACACUGUCACACUGAAGACCAGCUUCUCAGUACUGGACUCCUGAGGGACCCACUCCAAACACAUGCAAGCCACCUGAUCACAGGUUGGAGCUGGAGGAUGAGGAGGUGUCAAGGACAAAGACCUCGGGGCUCACGUGCAUGUUAAGCCUCCUCACAAGGCCGGUGCUUUUCCCUCGGUCCCCUGAGCCCCCUGAGUCCGCUGUCCUCUGAGCCUGGGAAGAGCCACAGGAGGCAGAGCAGACAGAAACAGACGCCAUUUCCAGGCAGGGAUAGUAUCCCCAGGGAAAGCAGGGUACAGGGUGCUGUGAGAUGGUUCCAUAUCUGUGGUGUAGCUAGAGUUUUUCUGCCUGGCCCACAGUCAGGACAAAUCUCUCUCACCUGCCAGUCCCACAGCCGCUCAAACCCGACCAAGUAAACACAGAGACUUAUAUUGGUUACAAACUGUAUGGCCAUGGCAGGCUUCUUGCUAACUGUUCUUUCAGCUUAAAUUAAUCCAUUUUUAUAAAUCUAUACCUUGCCACAUGGCUUGUGGCUUACCGGCAUCUUCACAUGCUGUUUCUCAUCAUGGCGGCUGGCAGUGUCUCUCUGACUCAGCCUUCCACUUCCCAGCUUUAUUCUCCUCCUUGUCCCACCUACACUUCCUGCCUAGCCAAUGGCCAAUCACUGUUUUAUUUAUUGACUAACACAUUUAGCAACACAUUUGCCAUACAGAACAUCCUACAGCACUUCCCCCUUUUUUUUUCAAAAAGGAAGGUUUUAGCCUUAACAAAGUAAAAUUACAUAUAAUUUGGGAAUUUGAGCGUAGCUUCUCUUACUACUUCCUGCUGGAGGGGGGCGCUGUAUCUUAUGGGGAUACAAAGAAAAUUUUAGAAUUAUGGAAUAGUCCAUAAUGAGGGUGUAUUGUCUGAGCCAGUUGCCUUCAAAUCGUUCUGGAUGUUGGAUCAUCUGGGCCAUGGUGUCAUCGGAGACCUUUCAGGGGGUCUUGGCUGGUCAAACCUGAUGUAUCUUAAUCUGGAACAAAUCCAUAGCCUCUGGCUUUCUGUGGAAACAAAAGCAGAGUCUCCUUUCCAAAGUAACAUAUCCUUAUAUCCAAAUUUUGAAGUCAAGGUACCUUUAAAAUAUACAUUUUGGCAUAACUCAACAGCUUUUACAAUCAAAUGUUUUUCUGCAGUUAAAAGUCCCAAAGACAACACAAUGCAGAUUCUCUGUGUAAUAUCCAUCUUUACGUGGCUUAUUUUUUAUAUUAAUUUUACUGUCUCUUUAAAGACUUUACUUUUUAAAACUAUGUAUUUGUUUCUAUAACUGUAUAUAUCACCUUUUUUGUCUCUUUCAAGCCUACAUAUCUUUUACACACAUUUUAAACUAUUACAUCUGAAACUGUCUUAUUGUGAAUCUAUUGCUUUAAGCUGCACCAGCUGUGGCUGCUGGCUCCGUCCACCUCCACCUCAGCUUCCCAACAUGGCGGUGGUACGCUUACUGCCAGCUCUGGGAGCUAUCAUGGGUCUAUGCUUUUAGCCAAGCAGCGUGUAGUCCAGAACCUCUUUUUUUGUUUUGUACUAGCAAAGACUAAAUCCACCACGCAGCUUAAUGUGCCACUUGCAGAGGCCUCAUUCCCGCCAAACUGCAGAUCGAGCACGCACACUGGGAACCCACAAGUAGCUCAAACUGGCAGCUGCUGCUCAUUUGAGAGAGACAAUUAGGAAGCUGUUUUUAGCUCCGUUUUAGAAUCUUUUUUCUCAGUUUUUAGGUGGAAACUCUUGCCCCACGUUGGGCACCAUUUGUAGCUAGAGUUUUCCUGCCUGGCCCACAGUCAGGACAAAUCUCUCUCACCUGCCAGUCCCACAGCCGCUCAAACCCGACCAAGUAAACACAGAGACUUAUAUUGGUUACAAACUGUAUGGCCAUGGCAGGCUUCUUGCUAACUGGUCUUACAGCUUAAAUUAAUCCAUUUCUAUAAAUCUAUACCUUGCCACAUGGCUCGUGGCUUACCGGCAUCUUCACAUGCUGUUUCUCAUCAUGGCGGCUGGCAGUGUCUCUCUGACUCAGCCUUCCACUUCCCAGCUUUAUUCUCCUCCUUGUCCCACCUACACUUCCUGCCUAGCCAAUGGCCAAUCAGUGUUUUAUUUAUUGACUAAUUAGCAACACAUUUGCCAUACAGAACAUCCUACAGCACUGUGGCAUUCUGUUUCUCUCCAGGGAUUCUUUUUGGGUCCUCAUGUCCCCCUCCCCCAACUCUUCACAGGCCUUCUGGCCAGGGGGGCUGAGGCACCGACUCCCCACGAAGAGGACAAACAGGUGCGGCACUGCCAGGCCUUGUAGAGAGCCGUGCACGGCCGCGCCUCAAAGAUGGCAGGUGUUCUCUGGGAUAAACAACUCCUUAUUUGGCUUGGGCAUAGAAUCUGGCUUGCUUGCAUAUGUCUGAACCUAUCGGCAUUGUCCACGUGGCACUACGGGGUUGGUUGCUCAGUGGCUAUAAAGGGCGUGGGCUGACUUUCCCCGGGGUCAGAAGAUUGUUCAAGGUUCCUGAAUAAACGGCAGAAAGAAGAGCUCGGCGUUGUGUCUUCUUUGCUGGUCGAGGUGGUCUCGACAAGUGGUGGCCCGUACGGGGAACCUCAGCCUCUUCGUGGAGCUCAGAACUUUUUGCUGUCAGGGUGGUAUACCGGUAAGUCCUCAGGUAAUUUGGGGAACCGCAAUAAAAGCGGAUUUUGCUCUCAUCUGUAGAUAAAGAGAGAACGGGAAAACGUAGAGCCGCGACAAGAGCAGACGGGGAAAUUAAAGAGUAGAGCCGUGACAAGAACGGACGGGAAAAUUAAAGAAAGUGAAAGCAAGUGAAGGCAAAAGUGCUGCUAGUAUCAUGGGCGCAACUUCUUUGCACCCAAUUUUUCUGUCUCUUAACGAGCUGCUCCUUUCAAAGAAAUUAAAGAUUAAGAAGAGUACUUCAGAAAGAUUUCUAGAGGAAUGUGAUGUCGUGGCACCCUAGUUCGCAGUUUCCGGAAGCCUCAUGGUAGCUUCCUGGGAAAGGUUGGGCCGUGAUCUAGACUUUGCUGCAGAACAAGGGACACUUAAACAUGGGGUUAGACCAGUUUGGAAAUUAGUGAGAGGGUGUCUUGAAGACCAGCGCUGCAGCGAUGCAGUAGAGAAUGGGCAGGCAGUCUUAGAAAUGUUGCAGGAGGAAAGAUCAGAAAAGGCCAUGUCUGCUAAAGCAGCGUCUACCAGAAGUAAAACAAAAAAGGGGGAAGAAAAAACAAGGUUAUAUCCUGACCUUUCGGACCUAGAGCGUUCCAAGUCCCCUAUCUCCCUGAUUCUGAUGAUGUAGAGUCAUUAUGUGAAACCUUGCAGAGCGUGAGAAUAAGAAAGAAAAGGGGGAGAAAUAAAGGAGAAAGAGAAAGAAUUAAAGGAUGUGAGUCUGAGUGUGGAGCCGCUCCCUCAGCUCCUCCACCGUAUCUGGAAUCUGCCUCCAUGUCUAGAGUUGUCUCUAUGGGGAAUUCUUUUAACCCGGAGGUUUGGAGACAGGUUAGAACUGAAAUGCAGGUAGCUUGCCCAGUGUUUCUCAAUGCCCAGACUCAACAGAGAUACCAUGAACCUUUGGAUUUUAAGGUCAUCAAGUCUCUAGUAGAAUCUGUCCAGGAUGAAAAUAAGAUAUGUGAGUUUGUAGAAAUUCUGUCUUGUUAAAUCUGUGUUAAGAAAUCUUUAGGUGUUUGCUAAGUUAAAUAUAUGCUAAUGGUAGCCCUAUAUAAGUUUGUAAGAUAGAUCCAUAGAGUUCCUUUAAGAAUAUAAGCUUGCAAGAAGUAUCUAAGGUAGUCUUAAGACAUGUAGUAAUAAGCUUGUAAGAAGUAAAGAUGUUAGUUGUAAAUGAGAAAUAUAAGAAAUAUAUUAUAAGUUUAAAUAAAUAUAAGAAGUAUGUAAGAAGUAAUAAGAAAUAUAUUUGCUAAAGUAGUUCUAUAGUUUCAUUAAAGAGUAUAAAUAAGUAGAUGUUAAUAUGUUAUAUGUGAGUUUGUAAAAAUGUGUAAAUGUUGAGUGUGAGUUCAGGCUUAAGCACGUUAUAUGUGAGUUUGUGAAAAGGUGUAAAUGUUGAUUGUGAAUCUAAGCUUAAUGUAUGUGGUGAAAGAACCUGAGACACAGAAGGUUAGUGUCCCAGUAGACUGCAAAGUAGGCAGUCUGAAUGGUUUCAAAAGUUCCAGAAGCCACUAAGAAGCUAAGAAUGGUGGACGCCAGAACCAGCACAACAAGGCAUCCGCAGCUGAGAUCUGUGGAAAAUCAAGGCAACACAGAAAAACCUGAGCUAACAGCGAAAACGGUGCGGUUUAAAAUUACUGACUCCAUAGAUGGGAGUACAAUUAGUGGAGUCUGAUUUUAAAGGCCCUUUGAAGCCGGGCACGGUGGGUUUAUUGAUAGGAAGAUCCUCCACCACCAUAAGAGGUUUUACUGGGAUCGUGAAUGCACGCACGUUGCAGUCUAAAUUUUCCCUUUCCCGUGCGGAUGCGCGCCAAGUAGUUAAGGCCAAGGCAUUGUGGAGCAUGCGCAUCGGUCCCUCAAAGAAAUUCUUCAAAAACAAAAAGGGGGAAUAGGCCGUGACCGAACCCCAAGAGAAAGACUCUCUCUGGCAUUAUUCACCUUACAGCCCUAUGAAGGGCAUGGUGAAGUGGAAAGAUAUCCUCACGGGUAGCUGGCAUGGCCCCGAUCCCGUGCUGACAUGGGCACGAGGUUCUGUUUGUGUUUUCCCACAGGACCGGCUAGACCCUAUCUGGGUACCUGAAUGAUUGGUGCGACGGGCCCCUCAGAUGGAGAGACGUGAUGACACCCCGGAAGCUGAUGUGCCUGAUGUGCCUUAUCCUGAUAACCCUGAUUCUGACAAGCGUGCCAGCGGGAGCAGCUGAGGAUCGACUGCUCUGGGCUCUUAUAAAAGCCUGGCCAUACCCUUUACCCAUAACAUCACAUUCUAGUGUAUUGCUUUAUUUUUGAGUUGACUUGCUGCAGGAACAGAACCCAGAUCCUGCGCAAUGAGAUCAUUGUGGUCAACUCCACCUGUGUGCACCUGGCCUCCACUGCGGAAAUGAUGUCUUGGCUGCGAAAUUCUAUCACCUUUUUAAAGGGGUGGGCGGGAUUAGGUGCCCUGGCAGGCCUACUGGUACUUGUCUCCCUGAUGUGCCUGUGGUGCAUUGUUCGUUUAAGGGUUUCUCAGCAGCGCAAUGCAGCCAUGAUUAUCCAAGCCUUUACAGCCAUAGAGGCUGGACAGUCUCCCCAGGCCUGGCUGGCCGCAUUAAAAGCUUGAUUGUGCAGGAUGCGAGGCUAGUGCACUGCACUUGGGUCUAGCUGUAUUGCAAAACCCAAGAAGAGCAAGUCUAAUUGCAUAUGGGUUGAUAUCCUAAUUCCCACCUCUGCAAAAAAGGGUAUCGGACAGGUCAAGUGUUCUCUGGGUGGAUGACACCUGGACUAACACCAGUACAAUGUCCAAGUUGUAUUUUGGCAAAGAUUAGACCUCUGCUCUUGCCUGCUGCUUAAAACAAAAAAGGGGGAACUGUAGAGAGCCGUGCACGGCCGCGCCUCAAAGAUGGCGCCGGCGUCUGGCUUCCGCCUUCCCAAUGGCGGGUGUUCUCUGGGAUAAACAACUCCUUAUUUGGCUUGGGCAUAGAAUCUGGCUUGCUUGCAUAUGUCUGACCCUAUCGGCAUUGUCCACGUGGCACUACGGGGUUGGUUGCCCAGUGGCUAUAAAGGGCGUGGGCUGGCUUUCCCCGGGUCAGAAGAUUGUUCAAGGUUCCUGAAUAAAUGGCAGAAAGAAGAGCUCGGCGUUGUGUCUUCCUUGCUGGUCGAGGUGGUCGCGACAAGGCCUAGAAAGCUGUGGAGAAAGCGCGAGGAACAGUGGUUCUGAGCUGUGGGUGGCAGGGGACUGCCUCAGCUUCUCGAGUCCUGGUCUAGAAUGCUAAGAUUGGUGUCUCUAGGGCUGACCCAGGUUUUGUAUUUGUGUUUAUUUAUUUGUUUAUUUUUUUUUUCGAGACAGGAUUUCUCUGUGUAGUUUUGGUGGCUGUCCUGAAUCUCGCUCUGUAGACCAGGCUGGCCUUGAACUCACAGAGAUCCGCCAGGCUCUGCCUCCUGAGUGCUGAGAUUAAAGGCAUGCGCCACCACCACCUGGCUAGAAUUUUUUUCUAAUGAUUUAUUGAUUUUUAAAAAUUCUUUUUCUUUUGUGUGUCCAGGUAUCUGCCUGCAUGUAUGUAAGUGUGUCACAUGUGCGGCACCAGUGGAGGCCAGGGGAGGGCAUUGGAAUCCCCUAGAACUGGAGUUGCAGAUGGUUGUGAGCCACCGUGUAGGUGCUGGGACUCGAACCUGGGUCCUUUAGAAGAGGUGCCGAUGCUCAUAACCACUGAGCCAUCUCCAACCCCCUAAUUAUUUAUUUUUAUGUUUUGUGUAUGGGUGUUUUACCCGAAUGUAUGGUCUGUGUGCCAUGUGCAUGUCUGGUGCCCACAGAGGCACAAAGAGGGUGAUGGAUUCCUUUGAACUGGAGUUAUAGAAGGUUGUGAG